GUUCCUACGGGACGCAGCAGUGGGGAAUAUUGCGCAAUGGGCGAAAGCCUGACGCAGCAACGCCGCGUGAGUGAAGAAGUAUUUCGGUAUGUAAAGCUCUAUCAGCAGGGAAGAAAAUGACGGUACCUGAGUAAGAAGCCCCGGCUAACUACGUGCCAGCAGCCGCGGUAAUACGUAGGGGGCAAGCGUUAUCCGGAUUUACUGGGUGUAAAGGGAGCGUAGACGGCGAUGCAAGUCUGAAGUGAAAGCCCGGGGCUCAACCCCGGGACUGCUUUGGAAACUGUAUG
rnacentral:rRNA from 1 species